GAUGAACGCUGGCGGCGUGCCUAAUACAUGCAAGUCGAGCGAACAGACGAGGAGCUUGCUCCUCUGACGUUAGCGGCGGACGGGGGAGUAACACGUGGAUAACCUACCUAUAAGACUGGGAUAACUUCGGGAAACCGGAGCUAAUACCGGAUAAUAUAUUGAACCGCAUGGUUCAAUAGUGAAAGACGGUUUUGCUGUCACUUAUAGAUGGAUCCGCGCCGCAUUAGCUAGUUGGUAAGGUAACGGCUUACCAAGGCAACGAUGCGUAGCCGACCUGACAGGGUGAUCGGCCACACUGGAACUGAGACACGGUCCAGACUACUACGGGAGGCAGCAGUAGAGAAUCUUCCGCAAUGGGCGGAAGCCUGACGGAGCAACGCCGCGUGAGGGAUGAAGGUCUUCGGAUCGUAAAACUCUGUUACUAGGGAAGAACAAAUGUGUAAGUAACUAUGCACGUCUUGACGGUACCUAAUCAGAAAGCAACGGCUAACUACGUG
rnacentral:rRNA from 1 species